GAGGCCUUAGUUUAAUUAAAACAUUUGAUUUGCACUCAUGAAAUGCAAGAUAGAGUCUUGUAGGUCUUA
rnacentral:tRNA from 2 species